rnacentral:rRNA from 1 species
AGUGAACGCUGGCGGUAGACCUAACACAUGCGAGUCGAACGGCAGCACAGUAAGAGCUUGCUCUUACGGGUGGCGAGUGGCGGACGGGUGAGGAAUACAUCGGAAUCUACUUUUUCGUGGGGGAUAACGUAGGGAAACUUACGCUAAUACCGCAUACGACCUACGGGUGAAAGCAGGGGAUCUUCGGACCUUGCGCGAUUGAAUGAGCCGAUGUCGGAUUAGCUAGUUGGCGGGGUAAAGGCCCACCAAGGCGACGAUCCGUAGCUGGUCUGAGAGGAUGAUCAGCCACACUGGAACUGAGACACGGUCCAGACUCCUACGGGAGGCAGCAGUGGGGAAUAUUGGACAAUGGGCGCAAGCCUGAUCCAGCCAUACCGCGUGGGUGAAGAAGGCCUUCGGGUUGUAAAGCCCUUUUGUUGGGAAAGAAAAGCAGCAGGUUAAUACCCCGCUGUUCUGACGGUACCCAAAGAAUAAGCACCGGCUAACUUCGUG